UACAGAGGGGGCAAGCGUUGUUCGGAAUUACUGGGCGUAAAGGGCGCGUAGGCGGCCGCCUAAGUCGGACGUGAAAUCCCUCGGCUCAACCGGGGAACUGCGUCUGAUACUGGGUGGCUUGAAUCCGGGAGAGGGAUGCGGAAUUCCAGGUGUAGCGGUGAAAUGCGUAGAUAUCUGGAGGAACACCGGUGGCGAAGGCGGCAUCCUGGACCGGCAUUGACGCUGAGGCGCGAAAGCCAGGGGAGCAAACGGG
rnacentral:rRNA from 1 species